CAUAGCGUAUAUUAAAGUUGUUGCGGUUAAAAAGUCUCGUAGUUGGAGUUCUGCCAGGUGCCACCUGUCCGCCCCAGUGGUGAGUACGUGGUGCGCAUUUGGCCCUUUCAAGGGGAGCGUAUUUGCACUUAAUUGUGUGGUGCGGGAUCCUUGACUUUUACUUUGAGGAAAUAAGAGUGUUCCAAGCAGGCUCUCGUCGUGCAUAGCUCAGCAUGGAAUAAUAGCAUUGGACCUCGAUUCUAAGCUGUUGGUUGCCAGAAGCGAGGUAAUGAUGAAGAGGGAUAGUUGGGGGCAUUCGUAUUUAACUGUCAGAGGUGAAAUUCUUGGAUUUGUUAAAGACGGACUACUGCAAAAGCAUCUGCCAUGGAUGUUUUCAUUGAUCAAGAACGAAAGUUAGGGGAUCGAAGACGAUCAGAUCCCGUCCUAGUCUUAACUAUAAACCAUGCCGGCUAGAGAUCGGAGGUUGUUCUUUUUGUGACGCCUUCAGCAUCUUGAGAGAA
rnacentral:rRNA from 1 species